AACGCACAUUGCGCCCCCUGGCAUUCCGGGGGGCAUGCCUGUCCGAGCGUCAUUUCUGCCCUCAAGCGCGGCUUGUGUGUUGGGCGUGGUCCCCCGGCCCCGGGGGACCUGCCCCAAAGGCAGCGGCGACGUCCCGUCUAGGUCCUCGAGCGUAUGGGGCUUUGUCACCCGCUCGGGAGGGGCCUGCGGGCGUUGGUCACCCCUAUUUCUUAUUGUACGGUUGACCUCGGAUCAGGUAGGAGUUACCCGCUGAACUUAA
rnacentral:misc_RNA from 1 species